UACGUAGGCAGCGAGCGUUGUUCGGAAUUACUGGGCGUAAAGAGUGUGUAGGCGGUGUUCCCAGUCUGUUGUGAAAUCUCCCGGCUUAACUGGGAGGGUGCAGCGGAAACUAGAAUGCUAGAGGGUGGGAGAGGUAAGCGGAAUUCCGUGGUGUAGCGGUGAAAUGCGUAGAUAUCAGGAGGAACACCUGUGGUGUAGACAGCUUACUGGACCACUUCUGACGCUGAGACACGAAAGCGUGGGGAGCAAACAGG
rnacentral:rRNA from 1 species